AGUUCUGCGUUCGUGUGAUCGUCGUGCCGAGUUUUUGUGCGGUCGACUUUUAACGCGCUGCCUCGCAUUGUGUGUAUUGUGUGUUGUAUUUCGUGGUUACUGACGUAAGCGCAAGUAUACGCGCUACCAGGCAAAUAGUCACCAGAUGCCGACCGUGCGACUUGAAUCUCUGCGACUGCUUUGUUCGGUGUGACCGACGGACGCGAUUCAUAGUUUUGAAGAACACCUUCAAAUGUUUCUGCACGUCAGUGAGUAGCAGCGCCGCAAUCCUUUGUCGACGACGCGUUCUGUCGCCCUGGAAAAUGCUUUGACGCUCGGGGACGGCCGGUAGCUCGGCGAUUCCUCGCUUGGCGCACCAUUGGAAACCGGCGGUCAUCUAGCAGUGUACGCUGCCAGCGUAUUUUUUAUUGCCAGAGGUAGCAAACAGCAGUGCCUCGACAAACAGUGGAGUGCUGACCAUGCAGUCCAGAAGGUGGCUGAGGCAAGUAUGCUAUAGGAGGUGCUUAUUCAGGCAGAAGAAAUAAGCAUCUGUAGCCAACGUAAAGGAAGCAUCUUCAAAAAGCAGUGCUACAAGGAUGUGAGCAGCAGUUUCCCUUCAACGAACGGGUCAAAUUCAUGGAAGCCAUGUGCCUGCUGCUUCUGGCCUACACAAACAUGCAGCCACCAUAGUAAAGUUCUUGCAAAGACAUUCUACACGAACUUGCCAAAGGCGGAAGGAAGGCACGCACAGAUGGACGCACAGAAAUCAUGGGGCUGCCGUAGAAGCUGUGAAUGAGCAUUAACCUACGUACAGAAAGGAGCGAAGUGGAGCUGUCCAUGGGCCGUGCACACAGUUUCAUAAGCAGGCUUGCAACACUUUUGACAAAUAUGUUCCUGAAUACAUCUGCCAAAGUGGCAUUUAAAGAAGCAUGUAGUAGUGUACUUCACUGUUUAUUUGGCAUGAAGCAGCAGGUAUGCUUCCGUCAUCAGCAAGUUCACACAGUACAGUGCAUCUACACAUGGCAUGCUACCCCCACAUCUACCAGCUCGGGAUGUGUAGCUUGAUUGUAAAAUGUUUACUUUGACUUAACACAACAAUUAUUAACAAAAUGACAUGAAAGUUUUGCCACCUAUGCAGGCGACAUUCUCAGUAUACGCUGCCAAAUAUAAGCGGAGUUUGACCAGUCCAUU